UGUCGAUGUCGAUUGAGUAGGUUAGUUCUAUUCCUAUUUAGGAAUUUGAGUUCUUCUGUCAUUGGAGUUCUACUGUCAGCAACCCUUGUUAACUGACCGCUAGAUGCCACUGUCUUCAGUUGAUUUUGUCAUGAUGUACAGACUGCAUCAUGAAACAUGGCGAAACAAAUUGUCGCUAAUUUGCUUUGUAUCUUAAUUUUCUGUGAACUUUGUUCGUAAAGUCAGUCCGUCAUUCCAACAAGUUGACUUAGUGCUCAGUCAAUUUCCAUCCAUUAGAUCCUUAUGCUGUCAAAAGCCUGAAACUCAUAUUUGAAGCCUACAUACAGUGGAAUUAGACAAAAGUUCUUGCGCAUGGACCAUAGGAUCUUUUCUGAAUCUUGCAAGUGUAACCUGUGUCAGAAUGUUUGUCAAGUGUACGACUGUUUCUACAGCCGUUCAGAAGGCAACCCAGCUGAGAGAUAGAGUUCCAGUUUCAGAGAAUGUACAUGAAGAGUGUGUAGUGUAUUUAGUACAUUUACCAGAUCUGCUUGAUGAAAGUCAAAUACCUUACUGAAUUCGUCACCCAAAUGGCCAAAUGAUAAAGAACUAUUUGUGACGUCCCCUGAGAUCGCGAGUCGGCCGCCAGUUUCAAUCUACAACGCAGUUUUCUUCAUGGAAUCGUGAGGUCCUGGCACGGAGAUCCUUGAGCCAACGCUGGCUUUUGUCCAUGACAGAAGAGGGACUUCCACCAACGUUCGGAUCCUUAUCUUCACGAUCUACGCUCAUCUAGCUUCACUUCUUCUUAACACAAUUUGUUUUACUUCACUGGCGACUUGGCGAGUUUCUGGACCACUUCAUGAUCGCUUCCGUCCGCUGUUACACUCCUGUAAUCAUUCACCACGGGAUUAUGCCCAGGUGAUGCAGAGGAGACGUCGAGAAGAUGGAUUUCCUCAUCUUUAACAGUCGUCACCGGUCUCCGUCGCAUGUUGCCCGUGCUCCUGGUGCGAACGAAACUCGUUAUCAACGUGGAUCAUCGUAUUGUUGGUAUUAUUUCGUUUGUGUUAGUGUUAGUUAACCCGUUGUCUGCCACGCCUUUGUUCUCCCCUGCACGGGCCGUGCUGUUCGGUCUCGUGGUUUACAAGCCGCGGGGUCGGAGAGUCGCCAAGCCCAAAAUUUGCCGCAAGGCAAGCCUGUUAUAAGGCAAUGCACCUUAGUCCCCCCUUGUCAGCACGGACUUGUCAGCAAUGGCAAGUCCCACUUGGUCAUGGAUCCUUCAGACGUGGCACGUAGAGUAGUAGAGUACAACCUACGGGUUGUAUGGCGUGGCAG